GGGGUUAUAGCUCAGUUGGUAGAGCACCUGCUUUGCAAGCAGGGGGUCGCCGGUUCGAAUCCGGCUAACUCCACCU
rnacentral:tRNA from 1 species